GCCUGGGUGGCUCAGUCGGUUGAGUGUCUGACUUCAGCUCAGGUCAUGAUCUCGUGGUCCGUGAGUUUGAGCCCACGUCAGGCU
rnacentral:tRNA from 1 species